GGCUGCCUCAUUACCCUGGCCUGCUUCCCUGUUCUUAAAGAUUUCAGAGUUGAGUUACUGUGAGCAGUUGCUCGCUCAGUCACGCUUUUGGGUGAAUUCCCUGUCUGGGAACGUCUCUGAGCCUGUCUCUUUCCAUCUGUCCAGAGGUCGCGGCGUUGACAAGGCCUAGAAGCAGAGGCCCAAAGUUCCAUUUUCAGAGUGACUGAAGGUCAAUACCUUGGCAGUGAGGAGCAGCAGCCGUGUAGCUACCAGCAAGGCCUUCACAGAUGACAAGAAUCCACACUCGGAAAGCUAAGCAUAAACAGAAGACACCCAGCAACACACACAUACCUUGGCUGUCAACUGCAAGAGAAGGUUGUAGGACCGGAAACAUUGACAAUGAAAUGAAGAAUUGAAGGUGAGCCAGUAAAAUUCCUGUGUUUAUGACCUGCUUU
rnacentral:lncRNA from 1 species